rnacentral:rRNA from 1 species
AUGAACUGUGUUUGUUCGGUAAGGUAUCAGAUCAAAGUAAAUGGCGCUCUAACCGAACAAUUCACUCCCUCCCGAGGUCUCGGGCAAGGGGAUCCAGCCUCGCCGUACUUGUUCGUCAUUUGUGCGGAGGGAUUGUCAACCCUUCUACAUGAUGCGAAGGCGUCGGGGAGGAUAACCGGGGUUAAGAUCUGUCCGCAAGCACCGGUGGUGUCCCACCUGCUCUUCGCGGACGACUCCAUUCUUCUAUUGAAAGCCAAACAAGUUGAGGCCCAAGAACUGCGCCAGGUACUUGAUAUCUAUGAGGAGUGCUCGGGACAAUGUAUCAACCUGGAGAAAUCAGCGAUCAUGUUUAGCCGUAAUACCGGAGCUACGAUCAAAACGACUAUGAAGGAUGCCCUACAAAUUUAAAGCGAGUCAUGGAAUGAGAAGUAUCUAGGCCUCCCCGUUCAUGUUGGUAAAUCAAGAAGGAAAGCGUUUGCCUUUGUCAAGGGCGCGAUGGCAGGACGAGUGUAUGGGUGGAAGGAGAGGUUCAUCGCGAGGGCCGGCAAGGAAACUUUGGUCACGGCGGUUGCUCAGGCUAUUCCCACCUUUGCUAUAUCUUGUUUUUACUUGACAAAAUCUUUCUGUGCGGAACUCGGCUCGCUGGUAGGAAAUUACUGGUGGAGCCAACAGGACAAGGAGCAUACCACACAUUAGAUUGGCUGGAAAACACUUACUAAGCCAAAAGCACAGGGGGGAUUGGGAUUCCGAGACAUGAAUGAUUUUAACAUAGCUUUGCUUUCCAGGCAAAUAUGGAGACUUAUCCAACACCCGGACUCUCUCUGUGCUAGGGUAUUGCAGGCUCGGUACUUCCCAAACGGUCAGAUCCUUGAUGCUGCUCCUAGAGAUGGUAUCUCCUACUCUUGGCGCAACCUACUUCAUGGGCUAUACCUGUUCCGGGAGGGGUAUAUUUGGAGGAUUGGCGAUGGUACUCAAGUAAAAAUCUGGUCUGAUCCGUGGAUACCUCGGCCCUGGUCGCGACGUGUCCUGACCCCAAAGGGCAAUCUUCUUGAGCGAGUCUGCGAUCUCAUUGAUCCAAAUACCGGUCAGUGGGGCAAGCAACUGGUGCGCGACACCUUCUGGGCGGAUGACAUCAAACAUAUCCUCCAGAUACCGCUGCGGGAAGGAGUCCAGGAUUUCAUUGCAUGGCAAUACGAUACCAAGGGGAUGCACUCCGUAAAAAGUGCAUAUAAACUCUAGCGUCAGCUCGAGCAGAAUACUCGUAAUGGUGGGGUGGGGGAAGUGAUUAACCCUGGAGAUCUGAACAGCGCUAAGGAUGACUCAUGGAAACUUAUUUGGAAGAUGCCUUGCCCAAAAAAUAUCCAAAUGUUUGCUUGGAGGAUUAAACAUGACUCUCUCGCUCUUCGCACAAAUGUAGCACGCAAGGGCAUCCCAAUCGCCGACACCAAAUGCUUAUUCUGUGGCAAGGCAGAGGAGGAUGGAGCACAUCUUUUCAUAAAAUGCAAGUCAGUGAAAGAAGUGUGGAGGGACCUAGCCAUGGAGAAGGAGCGCAUGGAGCUGGAGACCAUUAUGUCCGUGCAUGUGAUGAUGGAUUAUCUAUGGGGCCUCGAUGUAAAAAAGCGGCUUCACGUGUUUACCUUUUGGUGGUUGUGGUGGUCAAAUAGGAACAAACUCAGAGAGGGAGAAUUGCCACUUGCGGCUGCAGAAGUGGCAAGACGGACGAGGUCCAGUGUGCUCGAAUAUAUUCAAAUCUUCGGGAAAGCAGAAAAGCGAAGAAACCCUGAGAGAUGGCGACCCCCGGCCGAGGCUGAUUAUAAGAUCAAUGUGGACGGAUCCUUUGUUCCUGGUCAGCACCACGCCGGGUGGGGUGUCGCGGUUAGAUCAAAGGAGGGGGCCUGCUUUGUGCUCGGGCUGGGAGGAAAGACAACGUAA